UGGGGAAUAUUGCACAAUGGGGGAAACCCUGAUGCAGCGACGCCGCGUGGAGGAAGAAGGUCUUCGGAUUGUAAACUCCUGUUGUUGAGGAAGAUAAUGACGGUACUCAACAAGGAAGUGACGGCUAACUACGUGCCAGCAGCCGCGGUAAAACGUAGGUCACAAGCGUUGUCCGGAAUUACUGGGUGUAAAGGGAGCGCAGGCGGGAAGACAAGUUGGAAGUGAAAUCCAUGGGCUCAACCCAUGAACUGCUUUCAAAACUGUUUUUCUUGAGUAGUGCAGAGGUAGGCGGAAUUCCCGGUGUAGCGGUGGAAUGCGUAGAUAUCGGGAGGAACACCAGUGGCGAAGGCGGCCUACUGGGCACCAACUGACGCUGAGGCUCGAAAGUGUGGGUAGCAAACAGGAUUAGAUACCCUGGUAGUCCACACUGUAAACGAUGAUUACUAGGUGUUGGAGGAUUGACCCCUUCAGUGCCGCAGUUAACACAAUAAGUAAUCCACCUGGGGAGUACGACCGCAAGGUUGAAACUCAAAGGAAUUGACGGGGGCCCGCACAAGCAGUGGAGUAUGUGGUUUAAUUCGACGCAACGCGAAGAACCUUACCAAGUCUUGACAUCCCUUGACGAUGCUGGAAACAGUAUUUCUCUUCGGAGCAAGGAGGCAGGUGGUGCAUGGUUGUCGUCAGCUCGUGUCGUGAGAUGUUGGGUUAAGUCCCGCAACGAGCGCAACCCUUAUGGUCAGUUACUACGCAAGAGGACUCUGGCCAGACUGCCGUUGACAAAACGGAGGAAGGUGGGGAUGACGUCAAAUCAUCAUGCCCUUUAUGACUUGGGCUACACACGUACUACAAUGGCGUUAAACAAAGAGAAGCAAGACCGCGAGGUGGAGCAAAACUCAGAAACAACGUCCCAGUUCGGACUGCAGGCUGCAACUCGCCUGCACGAAGUCGGAAUUGCUAGUAAUCGCAGAUCAGCAUGCUGCGGUGAAUACGUUCCC
rnacentral:rRNA from 1 species